rnacentral:ncRNA from 2 species
AAGUCAAAUCCGGGGGGUCCCUGUCGAGGGGCUGAGAUGGCGCUUCCUAGCUCCACCACCCGCCGAACCUGAUCUGGCUCAUACCAGCGAAGGGAGAAGAACAUGACGCAGA